CCUCAUCCCCGUUAAUGAAUCUCUUUUUGGGCUUGUUCAGCAUUUCCAAGGCUUAAACAGAAGAUUGAGGCCCUUGCUGCCAGAUUAUCUGUUCUGAAGUUAGGAGCAUUCCUAUUUUCAAGUAACAAGUAUUUUUUACUUCAUUUCCUCACUAUGGUGGAAAAUUAUGCAAGUUUUAGUUUGCAGGAAGUCAAACCUGCAAAUUUGUCUAAAAAGUCUGUUGCUCCUCCAAAGUUGUAAUGCACAAGUUUGGUUCUCCUACAAAGCAGCAAUUAGCAGCGUCCCUUGGAAGUUAUCUUCUUGUAUUGGUGUGAGACCUAUAUAAUAUUAAUUUUGUUGAUUUCUUUCUUUUUGUCUUUUUUCUUAUUUUGUUGGAGUUUUUUAUUUUUGUCAAAGUAGAUGCUAAUGAGAGUGAUGAGGAACCUUAGAGAAAGAAAACUGAAAUUACAUGUAUGCAUUUUAAUGAAUUCCUAAAUUUAACAUUUAAAAUGGUGGACAAACUUGUCUAAUGUUUUCGGCUAAUAUCAUUGUUAUAGAAAAUUAAUGUAUUGAACAAAAGCAUGAGACGGAGACAUUUUCUAAUAAAAGAUCAUGGAUUUCGGUGAGAUAUGAUAUUGUCUAUGAUUGGAUUUACAUAUAAUUCAUUUGUCUCUAGGUCCAUUGUCAUUAGUCGUUUAGAGGUUGUUAUGAGAUUUAAGUAUUUAACCUAAAGUUAUGCCUGUUGCUCCUACAAAGCAGCAAUUAGCAACGUCCUUGGAAGUUAUCUUCUUGUAUUGGUGUUAGACCUAUAUAAUAUUAAAUUUUGUUGAUUUC